rnacentral:rRNA from 1 species
GUCGAGAAUUUUUCUCAAUGGGGGAAACCCUGAAGGAGCGACGCCGCGUGGGGGAUGAAGGGCUUCGGCUCGUAAACCCCUGUCAUUUGUGAGCAAGUGUUAUUGUUUAAGAGAUGAUGACAUUGAUAGUAGCAAAAGAGGAAGGGACGGCUAACUCUGUGCCAGCAGCCGCGGUAAUACAGAGGUCCCAAGCGUUGUUCGGAAUCACUGGGCGUAAAGGGUGCGUAGGCGGUAUGGUAAGACUUGGGUGAAAUCUCCAUGCUUAACGUGGAGGGAGCCUGGGAGACUGCCGUGCUAGAGGAUUGGAAGGGAGACUGGAAUUCUUGGAGUAGCAGUGAAAUGCGUAGAUAUCAAGAGGAACACCAGUGGCGAAGGCGAGUCUCUGGACAAAACCUGACGCUGAGGCACGAAGGCCAGGGGAUCAAACGGGAUUAGAAACCCGAGUAGUCC